CAAUAGCGUAUAUUAAAGUUGUUGCAGUUAAAAAGCUCGUAGUUGGAUUUCUGGUUGAAGCGACCGGUCGGGCGUUGAUUCGUCUGCACUGGAGUCGGUUUUGGCCAUCCUCUAGGAAAGUGCGUCUGGUAUUAAGUUAUCGGGCGUAUGAUCCUGGUCUUUUACUGUGAAAAAAUUAGAGUGUUUAAAGCAGGCCUUCGCCUUGAAUACAUUAGCAUGGAAUAAUAAGAUAGGACUUUGGUCUAUUUUGUUGGUUUGCAGACCGAAGUAAUGAUUAAUAGGGAUAGUUGGGGGUAUUUAUAUUCCGAUGUCAGAGGUGAAAUUCUUAGAUUUUCGGAAGAUAAACUUAUGCGAAAGCAUCUACCAAGGAUGUUUUCAUUAA
rnacentral:rRNA from 1 species